rnacentral:rRNA from 1 species
AUUGAACGCUGGCGGCAGGCCUAACACAUGCAAGUAGAACGAGUGGCGGACGGGUGAGUAAUGUAUGGGAAACUGCCUGAUGGAGGGGGUUAACUACUGGAAACGGUAGCUAAUACCGCAAACCAUCAGAUGUGGCCAGAUGGGCUUAGCUAGUUGGUGGGGUAACGGCUCACCAAGGCGACGAUCCCUAGCAGGUCUGAGAGGAUGACCAGCCACACUGGAACUGAUACACGGUCCAGACUCCUCCGGGAGGAAGCAGUGGGGAAUAUUGCACAAUGGGCGCAAGCCUAAUGCAGCCAUGCCGCGUGUAUGAAGAAGGCCUUCGGGUUGUAAAGUACUUUCAGCGGGGAGGCGUUACCCGCAGAGGAAGCACCGGCUAACUCCGUGCCAGCAGCCGCGGUAAUUC